AAGUCGUAACAAGGUUUCCGUAGGUGAACCUGCGGAAGGAUCAUUAUCGACACAGCGGGCUCCGGCCCUUGCUGCACCCUUGUCUUUUGCGUACCGUAUCGUUUCCUCGGCGGGCUUGCCUGCCGGUUGGACACUAUCAAACCUUUUUGUAGUUGCAAUCAGCGUCAGAAAAAUUAUAAUUAUUACAACUUUCAACAACGGAUCUCUUGGUUCUG
rnacentral:misc_RNA from 1 species